GUGCAAAAGCAAAAGCUUAGCUCUUGCAAUUACGAGACCAACCAUUCUGUGUAAACAUGCUAUCCCAAUUGCUAAUAUUAUGUCCACACAUGGAAUCGAUAUAUGCAAAGUCCCACGUGCAGUAAGUAAUAUGUUGAGUGCAUCCAAUAUUUUCAAUGCACAUUUACUCACGUAACCAGGCAAUACCUUAAAGUAAGUGGGUGUGCAGUUCCUGCAUCUCCACCAAUCACUACUCCACGACUUUGGUUUGUAUAAAUUGACUUUAGUUCAUUUUCUUUACUUGGUCUACCAUCUGUGGUUAUCAUCUGCCGAUGGUUUUGACAGCAAGCUUCUUCAUAGUGCUACUCUUUUCACCAAAGAAAUCCCAGUUGGAUCACCACCCCACUCUUCAAACACAACCAACAAGUUUCCAGUUGGGUUCAGCCAAGCGCGAGGAACAUGAUACCUGAGAUUUGUGGUCAGUAAUCAGUCAUUUAUUCGAUUCUUUUGCAUGCUUUGACUGAAGUGGACAAAAAGGCAGGUGUUUCAUUACCAUUUUUGAGAAGGCUCCCCACAAUUAGUCUGGCAUUUCUUCUCGUUGUAUGUCCCUCUGUAAUCGCACCAAUCACAAGAACCAUAUGCCUUAUAGGCAGGCCAAUAUCUGCCAAUGCUUUGUCCAUUGAUCCAUAUCUGACCUUUGCCCAUGCUACUCAUGUCUAAUGCCAAUGGCUCGUUCCCAGCUGGAGCAUUAAAGAAAGCCUGGAAGAUGACAAAGAUUGAGUGAGAAAAUAGUCUCAAGCAUGAGAGGAAAGAAGAUGAACUUUAGGAUAACAUGUUUCUGUGUUGCAAGCGGUUCUGACCUUGUACCAAGUCAAGGGCUGCCUUGUAGAUGCACCCCCCCACUUAACUGAAGAACUGCCACUAAGUGUAUAGAUGCUCAGGGAUUCACCUCUAAGGCCGAUCUACACACACAAACAUGGAACUCAGUAACCAGUAAGCAAGUUUUAGUCAGAGAGUCAGCAGGUAGGAAGAGUUGAUUGGAACCUGGUAAAUCCAUUUCUGUGAUGAAAGGUCUCUCUUUCCUUCAUUGAGACCGUCCAGGGUCACUGGACCAAGAACACCAGCAUUCCAUGUCUCAAAGUGGUUGCCAAUAUUCUGAAACAGAUAAAGAACAGGAAUACGGAGUCUAAACAUCCAUCUUGUGUGUGUAUAAUUGUAUAGGGUUAUUGGUAUGAUAUUUCAACUUUUGGAUCAAUGGCCAGGAAAUAUUUCGCAACAAAGAAUGUACUCACAGGAAGACCAACAGCGACACUUAGAAUCGAGAUUUUGUUGCUUCCUGCCCACAACUUCACAUUUCCUGUGAAUCUUAUCUUUGGAUUGUCCAAACUACCAUAGACAGUCCCUGCCAGAAGAAAAGAUAAGCAAAAAACAAAUCGGAACCUCACCAAACGUCGAGCAUAUCAUCAAGAAACAAUUCUUCACAAGGCAAAGCCACUCACCGGCCAGUUCUCCAUUGAUGAAAACAUGCAUAGAAUGACCUGCCGACAUCACAGUUAGGAAAGGGUAUCGACCAUUCUUCAAGAAUUGCUCAUUUGAGUCUAUGUUAACACUGAAGAGUGGAGAUCGUGAGUCAUUGAGUGAUAGAGGUCAUUGAUUCUGUCUCAAAUAGAGAAGCUGCAAAGGAACGUCUACUCACUAUGUAGUGUACCACAGGUAGUCUGUCCGAUCCCAUGUCAUGCUUAUCUGCUCCACCAAUCCAUCUUUUGAGAAUGAUUUAUCCCUCAGUGAGUGGGUAUCCUCACUGAAGGACUCCCAAGAAAAUCCGCCAACCCAAGUCAUAUUAAUCUGCGACGUCGGAGCUCCUACCUGUGUUUAUCAUUAGCAUCUUUGUGUUUAAGACAGUCAUGAAAAUUCAACCAUGGAAGUCCUAUUCCAUCCAAGAAAAUUUGGAAUACAUAGCGAGAGAUACAUUUUCCUGAGCCAAGAAACAAACAACUCAACGGAGAGGUGAGUUUUAUGAGUAUAGGAAUAGAAUGCAACCGUGACCAUUAAUCAUCAAAGAUUUCUCACCUUUGCAGUGUUGAACACUGCGGUUUUGCAGUCUGGAAGAAUGCUGACGGACCAAGCUGGAAUAUGAUACUUCAUUCCGUUGAAAGUAACAGGUGCAUAAGAACGGGAGUUGAAAUUAGAAAGGAAUGCAGCACAAGCGCCUGACUUCGAUCUGUAUACAUGCGCCUGCAAGAAGUCGAACGUAGAAAAGUUCCAAAAUGCCAAAUCAUCGAAAAUAUUCUUGCAAAUUUUACAGCAAGAUAUAAGAAUUGAACCUCCUGAUAUUUUCCGAGAUUUGUCACUGUGGGAUCCCCAGAGACGAGAGCUGGUUCACACGAUUUGAUUGCUUUAUGCAGGUCUGUCAGAUGUCCCCAUUUCGGUUGCCUUAACAGACCUGAGAAAGAUUACAAUAUGUUUAUCACCAGAUAGAGGGAAUGGUAAUAGUCGGCAUCAAAUAGAUUUGUAUUGCAUCAUCAGAUGCUUGACCAAUGAGACUGCACAGUGUCUUCUUCGUAGAAGAGGAACAAGAUUUUAGCACCAAAAAGAAGACAUAGGAAAAGCAUAAGCAAACUGAGUGGGAACUGUAUUACCUCUAAUCUUCUCUUAAUCUUGAAAGAACCCAAGUAUUUGACCUAAAUAAUUCUUUGUGUGUGGUAGAUGAUCAAGCCAACCAUUCAUGCCCUUUUCCCCCACCCACGGACAAACUUCUAAACAAGAUGUUUGAUAUAAUGUUUAUGUAUGUUUGUAUCUUUUGACAUGUUCGCACAACAUAUAGAGGGACGAUCGAAUACUUAAUUACCCCAUUUCAGUUAGGUUUGGUGGUCGCUUUUGGCUUAUAAAUAAAAAUUAUAUUAUGUGGACACUUGCGAGAGAUAUUCGAUCUGUAUUGGACCAUUUUGACCCUUUGUUGUGCAACCAUUCAGAACUUGUAAAGUCAUGUUGAUAAUUUGCAUUGGUUAUGAGGUGUUUUUUGGAAUGUUUGUUUAUGGAUUCCGAGUGAGGCAUUUUCUCUAACUCGUUUUCUCUUUUGUAGGUCCUAAGAGACCAUGGGAGGUUUCGGAAAGACUGACCUUUACGGACGGACACACAAGGGUAUUGCACAACUUUGGCAAAGCCAACUAACCUCAUUUUAGUUAGGUUUGGUGGCCGUUUUAGGCUUAUAAAUAAAAAUUGUAUUAUGUGGACACUUGCGAGAGAUAUUCGGUCUGUAUUGGAUCAUUUUGACUCUUUGUUGUGCAACCGUUCAAAACUUGUAAAGUCUGUUGAUAAUUUGCAUUGGCUAUGAGGUGUUUUUUGGAAUGUUUGCUGAUGGAUUCUGAGUGAGGCGUUUUCUCUAACCCAUUUUCUCUUUUGUAGGUCUUAAGAGACCAUGAGAGGUUUUGGAGAGGCUGACUUUUGCGAACGGAUAUGCAAGAGUACCGCACGACUUAAACAAAACCAACUAAAUCCAUCAUCAAAAGCAUGACCUCCAACGGGGCGAAUUCAUAAGAAGUCACAAGUUAGACCAAAACCAUAUCAUUACAACGUGAAAAUUAUUACAAAUGUUAGAAAAAUGGCAUACCGUAUUCAUCGAUUGGGGCAUCAUAGUCAUAGCUGGUCGCAAUAAAAGGACCACCAGCCGUCCUACCGAAGUUGGUUCCUCCAUGGUACUGCAGUUGACGUAAACAUGCAAAUUCGUUUACUUCAACAUGAUGGACAGCAAUCAGUAAUUACUGAAACAACUGAGGUAGAACAUACAAUUUCUUACCAUAUAGUAGUUAACGAAGGAACCACCUUUCGCUAUAAACCUUGCGACAGCAAAAGCCAUGUCCUGAACAGGCCGGUGAGGAACUGGACCCCCGAAACCAGUGAACCUAUUAACAUAGAAUACAUAGAAUAAAUUCACUGGAUAGAUUAAUUUCUUGUGAAAAUUUAUAUGAAUUCAAAUGUGAAGAAGUAGCGGUUACCAGCCAGUCCAAGCUUCAGUCCACAUGGUCGGUUUAUAAGGCUUGUUUGGUGAGAAGUAAUCGCAGUAGAACCCAUUGCAGGCAUUGAUCUUUAAAGACAAAAGCCCAAAAAAAGAGAUCACAAUAAGUCACCCAAGCUGGUCUAACAUGCAACUACAAACCCUCUAAUUAGGGCAGCUGGAAUUUAAGUAGAUAAAAGUCAUGUUGGACUUGACAAGGUAGAGAAGGAACAUGAACUUGGGGUUCUUCCUGAUGUGGUAGAACAAGAAAACCGAAAGCUUGGACUUACCACUGGAUCAGGUGCAUCAUCUUGCUUGCACAUGACCCACGGCACACCGGUGUUGAGACCCACUGCCAUUUGAGCAGCCCAGCUUAGGUAGUUCUUGGCUGCAGCGCCGUCAUAGUACUCCUGUAUACUAUAUUCGUUUUCAAUCUGCUCAAGUUAGACAAAGAGCAUGGAAGAACAGAAAGCGAAUUAGAUGAGAUCUUUGGGAGCUGAUCAACUCGAUGACACAUAAAAGCUAACGAAUUGAUGAAAGCAAAGAAGGAAUGGAUUCGAUGAUACCUGAGAGAGGAUAAUGGGACCACCCUGUGAUUCAAAUAAUCCUUCAGACUUCAUCAUGGCGACAAUCUUCUCUGUGAACUUCGCCAUGGCCGCCUUUUACAUGAAUAGACCAAUUAGCAAUUGCUCGGUUAGAGGAGAUCGAGUAUAAACAUGUAAAGAGAAGUUCCUGUGGAUUCUUACCUUGAAAGGUCCAUUGUCGCUCCUGAAAGUGAUGCCAGGAACAUAUUUUAACCAGACAGGAAAUCCCCUGUUUUACAAAGACAAGAUGAACAACAGAACAGCAUCAUCAGAUUGCAUGAUUAGGCUUUUGAUUCCACAUAGAAGAAUUAAUUGAAGACCUCGACCUCGUACCCAAAGUUCCAUUCGGCACAAACAUAAGGACCAAUCCGGAGAUGAACAUAGAGGCCGGCCUGCUUCACCAGCUUGAUGAAGCGAACCAGGUCGUAAUUACCACCAAAAUAAUACUGCCAAAGAUCAAGAAAAGCAACAAAUUGAGGCACACUAUGGGAAGGAGCAGUAGCCUUAGACGAGAGGGCUGGGAAAGGUUGGGUGAUCUCCGAACCUGGCCAGGGGACGGCUCGUGGCCGUUCCAGAACACAUAGGUCUGGAUAACAUCCAAGCCGCCAUCUUUAGCCUUCUGGAUGAGAUCCGGCCACAUCUGGAGACGAUCCAAUCGACAAAGUUCAGGUUUUGACGCGGUAGAAUAACAGUGCACGAACAGCUCACCAAAAAGGCCACAUUUCCCACAGAAUUGGAGACCUUACCUCCGGGGUGCUCCUGGGAUAGUGAAUGGAACCGGAGAUUAGAAUCCUCCUCUGCCCAUUGACGAUGAUAGCCUUGUGGUCGUAGGAAACGGAGGCAUCGACCGGAGAGGAAUGCCACGGAGACGACACCACCACCAACGCCACCGCCAGUAGCAGCAGCGUCGACAGUCCGCGGCCGCACCCAAGCGUUAUAAGCUCGAGGCUCAUGGUGGCCGGUCGGUCUUACCUUCAGAGGAGUCUCCUUUAGUGUUCUGGAUGUAUAAUAUGUGAAUGAUGGAGAUUCGUGCGCGCUGUUCUUCCGUCUUCUCCUCCGCUAGAGAAGUUCCGACGGAACUAUUGAGCAGUAGCGUUACUGCAACAAGCACACACCGAGGAAGAGAGAGGGAGAUCAAAGAGGAGGGAGGGAAGAGGGCGGACGUGGAGUGGGAGCGCGGGGGCGGGGAGGACGGGGGAGGGCGAUGUGCCUCUUGCGGUAUAAAUACCCGACGGGCGCAAGCGAGCACAGGAUUGGCGCUGGAAUACGCGGGUCCCAAAGCGCCAGCCACGUCAACGUUUUCUUCCAUUCCCCCUGAACAGGAAAAAAUCAAAUGGACCGAAGCGUGGGGCCAUCUGCUUGUAAGAAAGUGGACCAAUUAAGAUAAAGCUUUGAUAGUUGGCAAGGAUCGACAGAGUCAAAAUAUUUUGUUAAAAUUAUUAUUUGAGAAAAUUAGGACAGAUAGGUUAUGUGGAAUAAUAUUAGAAACUAAUAAUAUUAGUUUAGUUUUGUAAGAAAAUUUUAUGUUGAUGAUAUUUUUUAGUUGUCUAAUAUAUCGAUAUACAUUAUGAUAGUAAGCGAGUUAGAUAACAUAUCCAUAACCAUGAUAUAAAUAUUUUUUUAUAAAAUUACAUAUACAUGAUAUACCUAAAGGGUUUGAUGAGAUAUAUCAUAUUAUUAUUUUAUUAUGUGAAUAACAAUUUUUUUAUAUGUUAAUUUAGUUUCACAUAAGAAAUGUAUAAAGAUUUAGAUAAGAGUAUGAUAAUUGUACCAUUCUUAUCGUGAGUUUAGAGGGAUUUAACUCAAAGUAUCUCUCUCAGACGAAGAUUAUAUAUGUGGCAGAUAAGGCUAAGCCAGAUAGGAGAGAAAGGUAUGUUUUUAAAUAAAUAAAGCUUUUUAAGCAAUGGAAUAUUGUCAAAAUUAAAAUAAUAUGAAUACUAUAUUUUUGAAAAGCAAAUAAAGUUUCUUGAGUUGUAAUGAUAUCCAUUUUAAGCAAAUAUAAUUGCUGCAUUAUAUUUUUAAUGUCGAUGCCAAUAUUUAUAGUCACUGAUUAAAACAUGCCACAUAUAAUAUUUUCUUUCAAUACCAGAAAGAUAUUUAUAGUAUGAAUGAAAGGAUAAAUUUAGCUGAAUAUGGAACAUGAUGAACCAUAUCAUAACCAAUCCUCAAUUGAACUAAAACUUAAUCCUUACAGAAAUAGUUUGUAAUCAUCCUAAACUGGUCUAAAUAGAUUUCUAUUUUAGAUUAAACUGGCCUAGACAGUGCCUGACCCAGUCUGAUCCUUGAUAAGUGGUCAAGCCAAGCUACUGAAAUGUUGACCUCUGUGUUUGUAACUCAUGAUGAAAUUCUAAGUGACAUUAACAGUUUCUUCUUUAUAGUUGAUAAAUCAUUGUCAUCUCUUUCUAAAAAUAAAAAUAAAAAAAGCUGGGAAUAAAAAUAUCUAUAACAAUGCCUUUUUCCUGGCACCAGAUUGUAUCUUUACCACUAAUUUCUUGUUUCUUGCACUGUUGCACAUGAUCAUCAUGCAUCUUGUUAGACAUCUCAAGUGGUUGCCACAUAGUUCAGAGCUCAGAAGCACAGCCACACAAUUGCAUCAGGAAUCAAAAUGCUUAUAAGCUUUGCAGAAGCAAUGGAAAAGGCAAAGGAUGAUAACUUAAUAUGGAUCAAAAUGCUUAUAAGCUUAAGUAGUACAGAAGCAAAAGCUUAGCUCUUGCAAUUACAAGACCGACCAACCAUUUUGUGUAAACAUGCUAUCCCAAUUGCUAAUAUUAUGUCCACACAUGGACUCAAUAUAUGCAGAAUCCCACGUGCAGUAAGUAAUAUGUUGAGUGCAUCCAAUAUUUUCUAUGCACAUUUACUCACGUAACCAGGCAAUACCUUAAAGUGGGUGUGCAGUUCCUGCAUCUCCACCAAUCACUACUCCACGACUUUGGUUUGUAUAAAUUGACUUUAGUUCAUUUUCUUUACUUGGUCUACCAUCUGUGGUUAUCAUCUGCAGAUGGUUUUGACAGCAAGCUUCUUCAUAGUGCUACUCUUUUCACCAUUGAAAUCCCAGUUGGAUCACCACCCCACUCUUCAAACACAACCAACAAGUUUCCAGUUGGGUUCAGCCAAGCGCGAGGAACAUGAUACCUGAGAUUUGAGGUCAGUAAUCAGUCAUUUAUUCGAUUUUUUCGCAAGCUUAAUGGGGUGGAAAAAAAGGCAGGUGUUUCAUUACCAUUUUUGAGAAGGCUCCCCACAAUUAGUCUGGCAUUUCUUCUCGUUGUAUGUCCCUCUGUAAUCGCACCAAUCACAAGAACCAUAUGCCUUAUAGGCAGGCCAGUAUCUGCCAAUGCUUUGUCCAUUGAUCCAUAUCUGACCUUUGCCCAUGCUACUCAUGUCUAAUGCCAAUGGCUCAUUCCCAGCUGGAGCAUUAAAGAAAGCCUGGAAGAUGAUAAAGAUUAAGUGACACAAUAGUCUCAAACAUGAGAGGAAGGAAGAUGAACUUUAGGAUAACAUGUUUCUGUGUUGCAAGCAGUACUGACCUUGUACCAAGUCAAGGGCUGCUUUGUUGAUGCACCUCCCCACUCAACUGAAGAACUGCCACUAAGUGUAUGGAUGCUCAGGGAUUCACCUCUCAGGCCGAUCUACACACACAAACAUGGAACUCAGUAACCAGUAAGCAAGUUUUAGUCAGAGACUAAUGUAGGUAGGAAGAGUUGAUUGGAACCUGGUAAAUCCAUUUCUGUGAUGAAAGGUCUCUCUUUCCUUCAUUGAGACCUUCCAGAGUCACUGGACCAAGAACACCAGCAUUCCAUGUCUCAAAGUGGUUGCCAACAUUCUGAAACAGAUCAGAGAACAGAAAUCUGAUGUCUCAACAGCCAUCUUGUGUGUAUAAUUGUACAGGGUUAUUUGUAUGAUAUUUCAACUUUUCGAUCAAUGGCCAGGAAAUAUUUCACAACAAAUUAUGUACUCACAGGAAGACCAACAGCGACACUUAGAAUCGAGAUUUUGUUGCUUCCUGCCCACAACUUCACAUUUUCUCUGAAAGUCAGCUUUGGAUUGUCCAAACUACCAGAGACAGUCCCUGCCAGAAGAAAAGAAAGCAAAAGCCAAAUCGGAACCUCACCAAAUGUUGAGCAUAUCAUCAAGAAUCAAUUCUCCACAAGGCAAAGCCACUCACCAGCCCGUUCUCCAUUGAUGAAAACAUGCAUAGAAUGGCCUGCCGACAUCACAGUCAGGAAAGGGUAUCGGCCAUUCUUCAAGAAUUGUUCAUUUGAGUCUAUGUUAACACUGAAGAGUGGAGAUUGUGAGUCAUUGAGUGAUAGAUGUCAUUGAUUCUGUCUCAAAUAGACAAGCUGCAAAGGAACGUCUACUCACUAUGAAGUGUACCACAGGUAGUCUGUCCGAUCCCUUGUCAUGCUUAUCUGCUCCACCAAUCCAUCUUUUGUGAAUGAGUUAUCCCCCAGUGAGUUGGUAUCCUCACUGAAGGACUCCCAAGAAAAUCCACCAACCCAAGUCAUUUUAAUCUGUGAUGUUGGAGCUCCUACCUGUGUAUAUCAUUAGUAACUUUGUGUUAAAGACACUGUCAUGAAAAUUCAACCAUGGAAAUCCUUUUUCAUCCGAGAAAAUUUGGAAUACAUAGUGAGUUAUACAUUUUCUUUAGCCAAGAAACAAAUAACUCAAUAGAGAGGUGAGUUUUUUUAAUACAGUAGUAGAAGCAACCAUGACCGUUAAUCAUAAAAUAUUUCUCACCUUUGCAGUGUUGAACACUGAGGUUUUGCAGUCAGGAAGAAUGCUGAUGGACCAAGAUGGAAUAUUAUACUUCAUUCCAUUGAAAGUAACACUUGCAUAAGAAUGUGGGUUGAAAUUAGAAAGGAAUGCAGCACAUGAGCCUGACUUUGAUCUGUAUACAUGUGCCUGCAAGAAGUCGAAUGUAGAAAAGUUCCAAAAUGCAAAUCAUUGAAAAGAUUCCUGCAAAUUUUACAGCAAGAUAUAAGAAUUGAACCUCCUGAUAAUUUCCGAGUUUUGUCACUGUGGGAUCCCCAGACACAAGAGCUGGUUCACACAUUUUGAUUGCUUUAUGCAGGUCUCUCAGAUGUCCCCAUUUCGGCUGCCUCAACAGACCUGAGAAAGAUUAUGAUACGUUUAACACCAAAUAGAGGGAAUGGUAAUACUUGGCAUCAAAUAUAUUUGUAUUGCAUCAUCAGAUGCUUGACCAAUGAGAUUGCACAAUGUCUUCCUUGUAGAAGAGGAACAAGAUUUUGGCACCAAAAAGAAGAAAUAGGAAAAGGAGAAGCAACCUGAGUGGGAAUUGUAUUACUACUAAUCUUCUCUUAAUCUUGAAAAGAACCCAAGUAUUUGACCUAAAUAAUUCUCUAGGUGAGCAAUCACAACUUUAUACCCACGCAAGUAAAAAGAUCAUGCAUUUCUUUCUAAAAGCUGGAUGAGAUGAUCCAAAAUCACAUCUUUCUGGAAUUAUCACAAGCAUGCUAUGUGUGCAGAUGAUGAAGUCAACCAUGCCUUUUUCCUCACAUCAAAAGCUCCAAAAGGGGCAGAUCAAUGAGAAGUCAUGAGUUAAUUUAAAACCAAAUCAUUACAAAAUGAAAAUUGUUACAUAUGACACAAUCAUUGAAGAAAAACUGCAUACCGUAUUCAUCAAUUGGGGCAUCAUAGUCAUAGCUUGUCGAAAUAAAAGGACCACCAGCCGUCCUACCGAAGUUUGUUCCUCCAUGGUACUGCAGUUGACGGAAACGUGAAAAUUCUUUUACUUCAACAUGAUGUACAGCGUUCAGUAAUUACUGAAACAACUCAAGUAGAACAUACAAAUUCUUACCAUAUAGUAGUUAACGAAGGAUCCACCCUUCUGUAUAAACCUUGCAACGGCAAAAGCCAAGUCCUCAACAGGUCUGUGAGGAACUGGACCCCCGAAAGCAGUGAACCUAUUGAGAUAGAAUAUAUAAAAUAAAUUCACUAGAUCGAUUGAUUUCUUGUGAAAAUUUAUAUGAAUUCAAAUGUGAAGUAGAGGUUACCAGCCAGUCCAUGCUUCAGUCCACAUAGUAGGUUUAUAAGGCUUGUUUGGUGAGAAAUAAUCACAGUAGAACCCAUUGCAGGCAUUGAUCUGUAAAGCCAAGAUCCAAAAAUAAUAUCACAAUAAGUCAACUUAGCUGGUGUAACAGGGAAUUACAAUUACUCUAAUUGGUGCAGCUGUAACGUAAGUAGAAGAAAGUGUUGUUGAACAGGACAGGGUAAAGGAGGAACAUGAAUUUGGUGUUGUUCCUGAUAUGACAGAACAAUAAAACCGAAAUCUUGAACUUACCACUGGAUCAGGUGCAUCAUCUUGCUUGCACAUGACCCACGGCACACCGGUGUUGAGACCCACUGCCAUUUGAGCAGCCCAGCUUAGGUAGUUCUUGGCUGCAGUUCCGCCAUAGUACUCCACUGGACCAUAUUCGUUUUCAAUCUGCUCAAGUUAGACAGAGCAUGGAAGAGCAGAAAGCGAUUUAGAUGAGAUCUUUGGGAGCUGAUCAAUGACACAUAAAAGCUAACGAAUUGAUGAAAACAAAGAAGGAAAGGAUUCAAUGAUACCUGAGAGAGGAUAAUGGGACCACCCUGUGAUUCAAAUAAUCCUUCAGACUUCAUCAUGGCGACAAUCUUCUCUGUGAACUUCGCCAUGGCCGCCUUUUACAUGAACAGACCAAUUAGCAAUUGCUCGGUUAGAGGAGAUCGAGUAUAAACAUAUAAAGUGAAGUUCCUGUGGAUUCUUACCUUGAAAGGUCCAUUGUCGGUCCUGAAAUUGAUGCCAGGAACAUAUUUUAGCCAGACAGGAAAUCCCCUGUUUUACAAAGACAAGAUGAACAACAGAACAACAUCAUCAGAUUGCAUGAUUAGGCUUUUGAUUCCACAUAGAAGAAUUAAUCGAAGACCUCGUACCCAAAGUUCCAUUCGGCACAAACAUAAGGACCAAUCCGGAGAUGAACAUAGAGGCCGGCCUGCUUCACCAGCUUGAUGAAGCGAACCAGGUCGUAAUUACCACCAAAAUAAUACUGCCAAAGAUCAAGAAAAGCAACAAAUUGAGGCACACUGUGGGAAGGGGCAGUAGCCUUGGACGAGAGGGCUGGGAAAGUUUGGGUGAUCUCCGAACCUGACCAGGGGACGGCUCGUGGCCGUUCCAGAACACAUAGGUCUGGAUAACAUCCAAGCCGCCAUCUUUAGCCUUCUGGAUAAGAUCCGGCCACAUCUGGAGACGAUCCAAUCGACAAAGUUCAGAUUUUGGCACAGUAGAAUCACAGUGUACGAACAGCUCACCAGAAAGGCCACAUUUUCCACAGAGUUGGAAAUCUUACCUCCGGGGUGCUCCUGGGGUAGUGAAUGGAACCGGAGAUUAGAAUCCUCCUCUGCCCAUUGAUGAUGAUAGCCUUGUGGUCGUAUGAAACGGAGGCAUCGACCGGAGAGGAAAGCCACGGCGGCGACACCACCACCAACGUCACCGCCAGUAGCAGCAGCGUCGACAGUCUGCGGCCGCACCCAAGCGUCAUAGGCUCGAGGCCCUUGGUGGCCGGUCGGUCUUAGUUUCAAAGGAGUCUCCUUUAGUGUCCUGGCCGUAUAAUCUAUGUAUGAUAGAUCGGUGCGCUCUGUUCGUCCGUCUUCUCCUCUGCUAGAGAAGAUUUGGUGGAACUAUUGAACAGUAGCGGCACUGUAACAAGCACACACCGAGGAAGAAAGAGGGAGAUCAAAGUGGAGGGAGGGAAGAGGGAGUGAUGGGGGGGCUGUGGAGCGGGAGCAGGGGGUGGUGCCCUUGCGGUUUAAUACCCGAGGGCCGAAGGCGAGAACACGAUUGGCGCCGGAACAUGAGGACCCCACAGCCCCACCCACUAACGUGGAUGCUUGACUCACGUUUUCCUCCGUUCCCCGUGAACAGCUUAUCAGGAAUUUUCUUGCACCUAAAAAAGAAAAAUCACAUGGAAAAAGAUGGGUAGAAUUUUACAUGUGAUUACCUCAGAUGAGGUCAAUACACAUUGGGAGUUAGGGAUCUGCGUGCCAUCAAGUUUGGACUCUCUCUGAUGAGCACACUACUCUAAUCCUGAGGCUAAAUAGUGGUUUAAGCUAAACAAAACUAAUAAUUUAAUUAUCCUUUCAACAACUCUCAUGGCUCUUCCGUUCCACUGCAACAUUGAGACUUCGAACCAGACGCCACAAGGAACCGUCGAGCAUGCAAAGGUACGAGAGCUUGUUCUUUUCCUCUGUUUCUUGUGGCCGUGAGCAGCAGCAGCAGCAGUCCUCCCGCGAAUUCAAACACAUUUGAACCCCAAAGGAGCUGCCACCCCUGCAACCCAUACGUAGGCUGUUAAAUCCCACCCAGAAAAGAAGGGAACUGCCUGCAUGUACUGACCAACCACACACACCUCAAAUGCUUCAGCAACUCCCAACACACCAUCGAGCCGCAGCAGGAGUGUACUCCAACCCGUGCUCUGCUUCCUCCUGCAUGAAAAAGAAGGGUAGAAAAGGUUAACUUUGUCAGUGAAAGUAACAUGCGAGAGUUUAGUUUAAUCUCUUUGUGAGAGGUUUAGUUUGGUCAGUUAAGGAGGCAUCUUGUUCUUCUUUAUCAUGCUCAUUGUUUCAAGCUUUGGUCAUCAGUUUCUUCUAUAGGAUUACAGCUCUUUUAGGUACAGCUUUAGACCUUGCAUGCAUGGGCACCUGCAUCAAAGUCUUGAAGAAGACAUUGCACCAACUGAGCCUACCCAUAUGGACUAACAACAGCCACCACAAAAGCUGUAGUAGUUGUAGUAGUAUUCCUCCUACCAGUUCUCUUGCGUGACUCAUUGUUUCAGAGUAUGUGGCACCCGCAUCAAACUCUGGAAAGAGAUUGCUGGAUGAAUUCAUUGUGUCAUCAGACUUUUUGAAUGGGUUAGAUAACAUGUGUUUUGUUGUUUCUUAGCCAAUUAGAUUGAUCUGGAAGAUAAAUGUAAUGAAGGAUGGAGGGAUCAGACCUUCAUUAGAUUAAUCUUUCAUAUUGUUAAUAACCUAUUAUUUUCCUCACAUUCCAUGUUCUUGUUGGUUCCAUUUGGUUUGGGUGAGGGAAUCUCAUUAUAAAUACUGACCUUGCAAGAGACAUGCCCCUAAAUCACCUCCCUCAACUUGGGGGUGCAUUAACAACUCUAUCCACAUACUAUUUAUCUACCAAACACACACAAGCAAUUUGGUCUCCCUACCUGAUUUUUAGGAUCCUAGUGCCAUCUUAUCUGUCAUCAUGUAGUCACCUUAGUCGAGAGGCAGCAGUCUCAACUACCAUUACAGUUCAUCUUCUUUCUCUGACUCCAAUCUGAAGAAGAGAACAUCAUUGUGGAACUGAGCUGAAGCGAUUUGGCACAUAAUUAACUGUCUUUGUUUAGGUUCGUCUUGGUUUCAAUUAAAGGGGAAUCAUCUUCUGAUGUGACCAUGAUAUUUGGCAGCCGAGGUUGCACAGAUAGAUGAAGAACUUCUUCACGCUACUGCAUGGAGUGAUGAAGACCCCAUCAAAGAAACAAGAGAAACUGAUUGAUGGAAACCCAUUGCGUAGGGUAAGAGAAGAAGAGAAGGAGAAGAAGGCCGUCGAGAAGGUAGGGAUGGAUUUCAUUGGUGUCAUUAUCCUUUAAUUGUUGGGGUAUUUCCAUAGAAGAUUUGACUCCUUAUACUCAACUUUCAGCUUGAAGACGACCAGCUCAUAACUGAGCACUUCAUGGCUGGCCUGUGUUUGAUGGGCCAAUUAGUCCAAAUCAAACCACAUUAUCUCAUUGAAAGGUAAUCAAAGGAAAUGGUUUGAACUGAAUUUUCAAAAAGAGAUUUUGAGGUCUAAAACAACAAAAUAAGCCAUUAGCUGUUUUUUUAGCAGAAGAGAACAAUGGAUUUCUUUUUGUUCUUUUGCUUCAUUAAUUCUUCCACUUGAUUAAGAAUCUCAAUAAAUUAUUCAACGAGUUGUGCAAUCUCUUCUUAUCAGCAUAAACAGAGUCCAAGAAAGUGGACUCUCUCACCACUUCAAGCGAGCUUCUCCUCUAUCCAUUUUGGAUGAGAGCAACCUGGUGUUGUCAAAAGUGAGCAGCAAUUGCAACGUAGAUCUAAGGAUAAACAAUUGCUUGUUGGCCAUUGUUCUUGUCAUUCCUAACACGAACCUUUGUAUCACUCAUGUAUUCAUGUAUGAAGCUACUCUCACUUCCACAAAUCUUGGCCCACAAGGCCAUCCUAUCCUUCUUUCUCGAGAAGCUUACGUCUCUGUUCUUCUUGUUAUGUGUCCAAAAGAAAAUAAAGACAGAAAGGGAAAGGAAGGAAAAGAAACAUGAGUGGCCACCACUGCAUUUUGUCAAAUCAUGAUAUGCUCAUCUCACAAAAUGUUCCAGAGGCAAACCUAUCCAUGCACAUCUCUGCUUAUCUUCCACUCCUAGUCAUCACCACACUCAUACUUAUCUAUUUCUUGCAAGAAACAACUCAACUCACAAGAUUUUGAUGCAGGGAAUCUCACUGUUUAGAAUCUAGACACUCAACUCCGCAACUGCUUUUGUUCUUAGCCACUUUCGGUUCCUUUUUCGGGUGAGUGUUUGGAUCUGAUCUCAUCUCCAAGUCUUAAAUUAGCAAACUGUUGGCAAACUUUAGGUUCACUUGCUCGGAAUCUGAUCAACACAAUCCAAACAAGUUAGCAAACUGACUUCAUCUCCAUGUCUUUAAACAGAAUCAACCAAGUCAUAACUCAAGGAAGUAUACAUUGAUGGUCCCACGCCACACAUGGUUGGAGCUUUCAUUAGCCGACUGCUGCAUUACAUUCAUUCUGCAACCUCUCCGAAGGGAUAAGGCUUGUUUGAAGGGAAACAAUUCCUGCGCAUAUUCUUUGAGGAGAAAAGGAAAAAAAAUAAGAAUAAGAGAAAGAGAUAAAUGCAAGAGUUCUAUCGGAAGAAGCAAUUGAAACCAGAGACAUGCAAGAGUAGGCCACCUCUCUCUCCUUAUCCCUUGGGGACAGGAGUCCGCCACACUUGCAGCUGGCUUGUUGAUGACGGGUCAUGGAGCUGUCAACCUCAUCCCACUAAUUCUGCAUGACAUCUUUAGUAGGUUGAUUUGAGCUGAUAUCAAGUUAUAUUUCAGUGAUCAUUCAGCUGAAACAUUAAGCUUAAACAGCAUAUUCAGAUACAGAAGACCAUUGAGAUGUUUGAGGUGUGUGUUGAGAGAAACAACAAUAUAUGAGAAUGAAGAACACAACUGGCUGGUUUGCCAGUGGAUAAAGUUUGGAGUCGACAUCGAGGAUGCAGGUCUGCUACGACACCACAAAAGACUAUUGACUUAUUUUGAGGUCAGUAUCGACUGCUUGAUCUAUCCACACCCGACAUUGGUCAUCCUGCAACAGCUUUUUCUACCUCAAAAGACUCGAAUUCUUUCCUGGAUAACGGCAUACAAAGAAAUCUUUCUCAAAAUCUACAAGAUUUUGACCAGAUUGCUUGACAUGAAGUAAACAGGAGUAAUUUGGGUUAAGAAAUGCAGGUACUCAAUUAUUUGUCAAUCUCAAAUCAUUCUUGAAGAUGAUGCUGAUGCUUUUAGCUGAUAAAUCUUGCAAGACUUUCAUGUACUUCUUGGCCACAGUACCAUCUUCGACCAAGUCAUUGAUCUCUACAGACUUUGAUGGUGACAAAGUCUUAUCCACUCUUUCCUUUAAUCUAACUAAUCCAAGGAUGAUCUCAUCACUGGUGAGGGGAGAGAUUGUUUUCAUGAAACAAAUCCUGAUCAUCAAGAUCUUGAAUUUGAUUGUAGAAAUUAUGAAUAUAAAUAUAUAGUCAUUUAGCAUAAGGUCUUCAACUUGAUUUAGAUUUGAACUUUUCAACAUUGGAAAAGGUGGAAGAGAAAGAAAAAGGUUUACUUGUUUUGUUAUUAUGUGUUCAAAAAGCAUCCCAAAGUCAUAUUAGGAAAAAAUAUAUAAAAAGUAUUAACAUAAAUGGUAGAAAAUCAUGUUUCUCUCCCAAUGACCAGAGAGAAGAUUAAAAUACUUCAAACAACAUCAAAUUUAAUGAGGAAUUGACUUUAGAACAGAAAAUAAAAUCAUUUUUCUCAAAAAUCAACAAAUUUAUUUUGUAAAAUAAAAGGAAGAAAUGAGGGAUUAAAGAUCACUGAGAGAAGAAAAAAAACAUUUCACAAAAUAUUAAGGUCCCACCGAGAUUUGAACUCGUGUUACUGGAUUCAGAGUCCAAUGUCCUAACCACUAGACCAUGGGACCAGCUGUGAACGUUUUCAUACAAAAUAAUAUUAAUUAUAUAUUUAUAAAGCAUGCCUAAGGAGAAUCAGAUUCAGCUAAUGUAUUCUGUGGAUGUAACACCAAAACAAAUGGUUUGAUUUAGAAACAAUUUUUAUGUGCUAAUACCUGCAAAAGUCAUCUCCAUCAGCAAAAAGUUCCAAUAAUUGUUCAAAAAUGGAAUGGCUUAUUGCAUCACAAACACAUUCCCAGCGAAGAGACUCUAAUUUAUAUCCUAGCUCAUAUAUAUAAUAACUGAAGGCAAAUAAUGAACACAAUGAACAAACAUACUUGAGAACAAUGGAAUUUGCCUGCAGAAAGGAAAGGAGAAAACAAGAUGAUUGCUAUGGCAGAUGAUCUUGGGAUCUACAUUAGUGACUCAUCUGCAUAUUCUUUCUGAGAUGAAAUAUAAGUUUGAAGUUUAUAGUAUGCUGCAAAAGAUCUUUCGUUCUAAUUUUCUGAAGAAUAGAGAGUUAAGCUUGACUUAAUUUAACAGCCCGCAGAAGAACUUGAUGGAAAGGGCAUUGACAAAUAAGAAAAGCCAGGAGUUGGUCAUAAAUGUUCAAUUUGGAAUUACUAGAUGAGCACUCAAUUUUUCAAUACAUUAUAACAAAUCAAAGAGGAACACUGCAGAUUCUCACCUGGACACUAAUUCAUCCAAGCACUGGAAAUUUAUGUACAUAAAAUAAGUUGUUGUGUGAGACUGGCAUUCAAAAACAGAGUUUGUUAAAAAAAUGAACACUGAGCAAAACAAGGUAAGCCACCUAUUUUCUCCUAAGAAACCAUCAAAAUCAACAUUAAACUAAGGUAACUUUACCCAAAACCUGGAGGCACAUCAGGGUCCUCAUCGCUGACACCAACUGGAAUGAUGGAAGAAUUAACCGGUGGACCAAAACCAGGUGGCACAGCAUCAAUCUGUUCUGGGUCAUUAAGCGCUUCAUUUGAUGAGUGUGGUUGCUCAUCAUGAAGCAUCAUAGCGUGUUCAACUUUGCUGCUUGGCUGAUCAGUUGAACAAAAUCCUGGCGGUACUUCCAUUUGUUCAUUUCCAUCAGACACAUUCGUCUCACAUGUAGAAGGUGCUACGAGAGAAGCUUGAUCCUUUUCGUCACCAACAAGUAGUCUUUUUUGAGGAGAAACGCUGUCUUGUUUAUUCACUUCUGGUUUAACAAUUCUAUCAUAUACAGACUCCACAGUACCUCUAAUAUCAUUUUCACAUGAUUUGAUAACCUUCCACACCUCAUCUGAAAUUUGUCCCAUGAUUUUGCUUCUGCAGAAAUAGUACUUUGUCAUAUCAGUUGCAGAUGGCAGCCUCAGAGCUCAGAACUCUCACUUCAAGAAUUACAUAGUGUCAUAAUACAAUAUAAACUAGUGAUGAUCAACUUAUAGUUGUUCGAUGCUUACCCAAGCUCUUGAUAAAUAGCAUCAGAAAGUUGUCUUAGCUUCAAUUUCUCAGAACCAUCUUCAUUAAGUACCAUUGAUUGUCUCACCUCGGAUACAAUGCUGCUACGCAGUUCCUCCUGUAAAAAAUACCACAUUCAGCUACAGCUACAUAAAUAUAUUAAUUAAUAAAAAUUAUAUAACAAACAAAAUAUCAUAGAAACUAGUACUACGAGUUCACAAUGUCAGUUGCAAACAUCUCAUAAUUCCAACAAUGGUAAUAGAUACAUGGAUCAAGCCCAACCUCCAUAAUUGGAUUGUCAUGCAAAAGUAUUAGUUGUAUGCAAAUGAUAAAUUUUGACACCAGUAAAGGACAUUAUUAUAGUCAUGGCUUCUACCACUAUGGAAUCUAGGAAAAAUUAGCGGUAUGAAGCUUUAGCCUCAUAUAAAGAGGUUAAAUUCUGCAGACACAAGAAAAAAGAGACACAAUUAAGAUUGCCUUGAUAUAAGAUGAAAAACAAAUAAUUAGUUGUUGCUCUACCAUCCUAGGACUCAGAAGUUCUGAUCUUAGAGAGAGCAAUGAAGUGGGUGUAAAAACAAACUAGAAGUACAUUUAAGGGAGCAAUCAAGUGGCUAUGGUGACAAUGUUCCUAGUAGAUCAUGUGUGUCCAACUUGGAUCUCAAUGCAGUUUCAUAUGAUGCAAAAUCAGUAACCUCUCGUUAGUCAUGACAAGUCAAGAAUAAUAUAUAACUUGAUAAAAGGUACUGUUAAGCUAAAUGAACAAACAAAUUAACUUAAUUCUAAAAGAACUCAGGUUAGCUAAACACCUUAGUCGACCAUGUUAACAUGGCUGCUUCUAGUAUUCUCUUCAGUUUCAUGUUCUCAUCUAUUCUUUAACAUCUCACCAUUGUCCAAGCCCAAAAAUUAUCAUUCAGCACAUAUCAAAGGGCAUCCACAACAUUUUAAAAACAUAUUUUUUUAUUACUAGAGUUUAUUAGCAUUUUAAUAUUAUAUAAUACAAUAAACAACGAACGUUAGGAUCUGGAAGCAAAGAACUUGCAACAACUUUUUCAAGAAAAAAAUAAAUUAAUCAGCAACAGAAAAAUGCUUUAUUAAACAUAUCCGAUUCUAACAGCUUACUCUAUGAAUUUAACUAGUUUAAAACAACAAAAGAAUGAAACCAAUAACAACAACUUAGAGUUGCAUGCCAAAUUUGAUCUAAAAUCCUUUCAAGACUGCUAGUUGCCUGUCGUUCCAAUGUCCAGAUGAUGUUAGGACAUCAACAAUAUAAAUAUAAUACAUGAAUAUCUUCCACAUGAUUAUAAGAGUUACCAUCGACUUCUGGCACUCAUAAACAAACUACCCCAGGGCAAUUAUAUCAGUCCCAACUAUUUUCUGAUACAAUACAGUUAAAUCAAAACCUACCUAAUUGAAUAGCUAUUUUAAUAUGGGUAAUUGCUUGAAACAGCUAGGGCAUUAUGCAUAAGGGACCUCCUCAUUUCCAAGGUCUGAUGUUUCUAUGCCCUAAAAAUAUCUUCACUGCCAUCAUUUGUUCUCCUACUCUCCAUUUGUUUUAUCUUUCUUCCAAAGCUCUUCUUAGAGCAUUUUCUUCCCCAAUCUGUGAGUCAUACUAACUUAAGCAUGGAGGAGGAUCCCGCCAAGCACAACCGCGGUGCUAGUACAAAGUGUCCUAGCAAUGAAAAAGCUUACUACACGCCCUUGUUGGCACUUGGCGCCACCAAAGCUUCUUCCAAGAUCAACUCCAUGUCACAUUCAAGAGCUUCCUAAGCAUCACAAAACCUCAUGAAACAAUUUUCCGGAACAGUUCCAUGUUUGGCAAUGAAUAAAGCAGAUGCGAAUUGGAGAAAGUUCCGCUUCACAUCAACGAAGGGAUCAGAGGUGGCAAUUUGAUGAAAAACCAAACAAUGCCAAACUCAUACAAUUCUCAUCCAAUAAUGAAGAAAAGGCGCACAAAAGGAAGAAUCUUUCGGCAAACUCACAUUUUCUUUAACUUUGCGGAUGAUCUUGAGACGGAGGGAGUCGAAGUCACCGUCAUCCUUCAGCCUCGCGAUCACCUCCUCCGCAGUCGGCCGCCUUUCGCCGUUCUCCAUACACCCGUCUCCCCGAUCUCAACCACGGUCGGACAGAUCGAAACCCUAAUUUCCUCCGAUCCCAAGAGGCCUCUUUUAACGAUCUCACUCCGACUCCGGGAGAGUCAAGGAUCCGCUGCAGUCAUACGACGGAGGCUAUACUAAUCGAAGCGAGCCCGGUCCAGUAACAUCUGGACCGGACCAAAUGAAGGCCCGCUUCCUUGGAAUUUUAAGAACCCCAAAUAAAGGCCUGAUUCGAGACGAUCCUACAAUUGGCUACCGAAACCAUGCUACGUAACAUGGUCGAUCAAACGAUGUCAAUUAAUGCACCGAUGACGAGAGCAUUCCAGAUCUACAAAUCUACCACAGCAAAGCGCGGGUCCCACCAGAGUCCACAUCACCCGAGCAACUUAUCCAUGGUGACUAACGCUCGCACGUAACCCUUGAAAAAAGAGUCUUGGAGCACUUGUGUAACCUCAACGAUCCAUUACUGCACUUAUCUUGUGGACGUUGCACUCGAUCGAUCGAAUCGAACUGAGUAAUAAAAGAAAUCCAAGAUUAAUUAGGAUGCAAGCAAACUAGUGCAAAUCCAUCUGCUGAUUCAUCAUCAACUUCAACCAUCAGUCAAAAAGAUGGGUAAUGAUCAGCAAUGCACCAAACAUUCUUGUUAUAUAUGUAUUCAUCUGAGCACUAAAUCACCUACAGAAACUAGCAGAUGUAGCCCUCGUUUAUCAUGCUGAGGAUCUCAGUGUUCAACCCUUUUCCAUCAAGCUACCAGUAUUCUUCAUUCCACUGUCAACCUGAGAUGGUGUCUUGAGCACCCUAGCUAUGAAUCUAGCUCAACAAUGUCGAUUGCAUCUGGUUCUUUUCAUACAUAUAGUCUUAGCAGCCAUAGUCUCCCAAGCAAUUCAACAAUGACUUGGUCACAAACAAAUCCAUCAAAAUCUCACAGAAUCUAAAAAGGAUUUUAAGUAUUGACUGGCCAGUUUAGACAAUUGAACCCACUACUACUACUCCCACUGAUAAAUGUCAUCCAACCUUGUAGAUUUCCACAGGUGGCAUGUGUCCCACCCUUACUGUCAAUUAAUGACAGCUUGAACCGAUCAUAAUUCUCUUCAUAUCUUUGUGAAAUUUCAUGCAAUAACUGGAUCAUAAGAAUGUUUGUUACAGCCAAGUUUCUCGUCUUUGUUAGCAUGCAGAUCAGCCAAAUUAAGGCUUAAGCUAAUAGAUGCAACAGGAUAUGUCAUUAUCUUUGUGCACCCAAAGAAAAAGUGUUUCUUUUUGGUACAAGCCAAAGUGGUGUUCUACUAGAGCUCUACGUCAUGAGUGGAUUCUUCUACCCAUAUAAGAAGAAGAAGAAGAAGAAGAAAGCUCAAGGACAUCAUCAUAUCUUGAGAAGAUUCCACCUCUACCAAGGUAGACAAAGACUUGACACACAUAAAGAAACAUGUCACACCAUGAGAGCACUACAUUGGAUGUAAACCGGCAAAGGAGACCCCAUGUUUUGAGCAGGAAACAUGCAGCUGGGAUAAAACAGAUGCUUCUCCCCCAAACUGCUGCAAAGUAGAAUGUAAAGGAUUUCUUGUUCGGUCCCCAAGGAAGAUUUCUUCUGAACAGGUAACCUAGCACACAAUGCUGACUGCUGAGGACAAGCAGACCUAUGAGGACAAGAAUGGGGCAGGCAUGUGGCCGUCGCUAGCACACAGGAACAAGAUUGCUGAAUCCUAAUCCACAAAACCAUGGUUACUUGCAUGAUAAGCUUAUAUAUUCUUACACACAACCCCACAUGGAGUGUUGCUGACUUUACAGACACAAGAAGAAGAUGGUGGUGUUUUAGUGGCCAUGCUGUUUGGUUGGGAGUUGGGAGUUGGGAGUUGCUUUAGUUACUGAAACUCACAAGGUGUGCAGAGAAAGUGAAGAUGCAAUGCAUUCUCUCCAAACAAUGAUGUAAAAGCCUUAGUGUGUUUGGAUAAUUAGAGUUCAAAUGCUGUUGGACAUAGCACUAUUUAUUCUAUUAUUUUGUUGGUGGCCCUUACUGAAAUCAUAUUGUCCUUCAAACAAGUAGCAAUCAAUGUGCAACAACUUUUUUUGUCACAUUUCAUUAAGAUAGAGCUAAAAAAUAUAGCUUAUCAUCA
rnacentral:lncRNA from 1 species